GAUGAACGCUGGCGGCGUGCCUAAUACAUGCAAGUCGAGCGAACGGACGAGAAGCUUGCUUCUCUGAUGUUAGCGGCGGACGGGUGAGCAACACGUGGAUAACCUACCUAUAAGACUGGGAUAACUUCGGGAAACCGGAGCUAAUACCGGAUAAUAUUUUGAACCGCAUGGUUCAAAAGUGAAAGACGGUCUUGCUGUCACUUAUAGAUGGAUCCGCGCUGCAUUAGCUAGUUGGUAAGGUAACGGCUUACCAAGGCAACGAUGCAUAGCCGACCUGAGAGGGUGAUCGGCCACACUGGAACUGAGACACGGUCCAGACUCCUACGGGAGGCAGCAGUAGGGAAUCUUCCGCAAUGGGCGAAAGCCUGACGGAGCAACGCCGCGUGAGUGAUGAAGGUCUUCGGAUCGUAAAACUCUGUUAUUAGGGAAGAACAUAUGUGUAAGUAACUGUGCACAUCUUGACGGUACCUAAUCAGAAAGCCACGGCUAACUACGUGCCAGCAGCCGCGGUAAUACGUAGGUGGCAAGCGUUAUCCGGAAAUUAUUGGGCGUAAGCGCGCGUAGGCGGUUUUUUAAGUCUGAUGUGAAAGCCCACGGCUCAAUCGUGGAGGGUCAUUGGAAACUGGAAAACUUGAGUGCAGAAGAGGAAAGUGGAAUUCCAUGUGUAGCGGUGAAAUGCGCAGAGAUAUGGAGGAACACCAGUGGCGAAGGCGACUUUCUGGUCUGUAACUGACGCUGAUGUGCGAAAGCGUGGGGAUCAAACAGGAUUAGAUACCCUGGUAGUCCACGCCGUAAACGAUGAGUGCUAAGUGUUAGGGGGUUUCCGCCCCUUAGUGCUGCAGCUAACGCAUUAAGCACUCCGCCUGGGGAGUACGACCGCAAGGUUGAAACUCAAAGGAAUUGACGGGGACCCGCACAAGCGGUGGAGCAAGUGGUUUAAUUCGAAGCAACGCGAGGAACCUUACCAAAUCUUGACAUCCUUUGACAACUCUAGAGAUAGAGCCUUCCCCUUCGGGGGACAAAGUGACAGGUGGUGCAUGGUUGUCGUCAGCUCGUGUCGUGAGAUGUUGGGUUAAGUCCCGCAACGAGCGCAACCCUUAAGCUUAGUUGCCAUCAUUAAGUUGGGCACUCUAAGUUGACUGCCGGUGACAAACCGGAGGAAGGUGGGGAUGACGUCAAAUCAUCAUGCCCCUUAUGAUUUGGGCUACACACGUGCUACAAUGGACAAUACAAAGGGCAGCGAAACCGCGAGGUCAAGCAAAUCCCAUAAAGUUGUUCUCAGUUCGGAUUGUAGUCUGCAACUCGACUACAUGAAGCUGGAAUCGCUAGUAAUCGUAGAUCAGCAUGCUACGGUGAAUACGUUCCCGGGUCU
rnacentral:rRNA from 1 species